AUUGAACGCUGGCGGCAGGCCUAACACAUGCAAGUCGAGCGAGCGGCGGACGGGUGAGUAAUGUAUGGGGACUGCCCGAUAGAGGGGGAUAACUACUGGAAACGGUAGCUAAUACCGCAUACUAUCGGAGAACCCAGAUGGGGUUAGCUAGUAGGUGAGGUAAUGGCUCACCUAGGAGACGAUCCCUAGCUGGUCUGAGAGGAUGAUCAGCCACACUGGAACUGAGACACGGCCCAGACUCCUACGGAGGCAGCAGUGGGGAAGAUUGCACAAUGGGCGCAAGCCUGGUGCAGGCAUGCCGCGUGUAUGGAGAAGGCCCUAGGGUUGUAAAGUACUUUCAGUCGGGAGGCGUUACCGACAGAAGAAGCACCGGCUAGCGCCGUGCCAGCAGCGGCGGUAAUUC
rnacentral:rRNA from 1 species